AUUGCAAGUGAGUUUCAGAAAA
rnacentral:piRNA from 1 species